CCUACGGGAGGCAGCAGUAGGGAAUAUUGGGCAAUGGAGGCAACUCUGACCCAGCCAUGCCGCGUGCAGGAUGAAGGCGUUAUGCGUUGUAAACUGCUUUUAUAUAGGAAGAAAUAGACCUUGCGAGGUAAGUUGACGGUACUAUAUGAAUAAGCACCGGCUAACUCCGUGCCAGCAGCCGCGGUAAUACGGAGGGUGCAAGCGUUGUCCGGAUUUAUUGGGUUUAAAGGGUGCGUAGGCGGUUUAUUAAGUCAGUGGUGAAAGACGGUCGCUCAACGAUUGCAGUGCCAUUGAUACUGGUAGACUUGAGUAUGAUUGAGGUAGCUGGAAUGGAUAGUGUAGCGGUGAAAUGCAUAGAUAUUAUCCAGAACACCAAUUGCGUAGGCAAGUUACUAAGUCAUAACUGACGCUGAGGCACGAAAGUGUGGGUAUCAAACAGGAUUAGAUACCCUGGUAGUCCACACUGUAAACGAUGAUAACUAACUGUUGGCUUUCGGGUCAGUGGUACAGAGAAAUCGUUAAGUUAUCCACCUGGGGAGUACGCCGGCGACGGUAGAACGUUAAAAGGUAAAGUUAGUACGGCGUGAGACGUGACCGACGGACGACGACGAGGGAGGAGG
rnacentral:rRNA from 1 species